UACGGAGGGUGCAAGCGUUGUCCGGAAUUAUUGGGCGUAAAGAGCUCGUAGGCGGUGUGUCACGUCGGCCGUGAAAACCUGCAGCUUAACUGUGGGCGUGCGGUCGAUACGGGCAUCACUGGAGUUCGGCAGGGGAGACUGGAAUUCCUGGUGUAGCGGUGAAAUGCGCAGAUAUCAGGAGGAACACCGGUGGCGAAGGCGGGUCUCUGGGCCGAUACUGACGCUGAGGAGCGAAAGCGUGGGGAGCAAACAGG
rnacentral:rRNA from 1 species